rnacentral:sRNA from 1 species
ACAAAAAAAAACUUAAGAGCACACCAAAAUGAAAGUAACUACAGAGUAAAUAGUAUUACCAUUGGAUAUUCAACACAGAUUAAAUAGUGUUACCAUUGGAAAUUCAAACAGUGACCAAUGAACACAUAUAUAUAGCUGGAAGACAGGGAAUAAUGGUAGUGAAGUACCUUAUAUGUCAGGAAUUUUAGCUUCACCAUCAGAUUUGAAUCCUCAUCAGCCAGACCAUCCUUAGCUGACGAAUUUGAAUCCAAGGCACCAUUGAUAUUUUUCAGUGAGGUGUCAAUGUCUUCCGAAGGUAUGGAAGAUUUCAUAUUAUUAACCUUGAACAGGUUUACAUCAACAAAGAAACCUAACAAUGAAACAUAGGUCAGUCUAUGGUGUCAUAAUAAAUGUAUGAAUAGUAAGAAAUAUGACCUUAUUAUUUUGAGGGAAGAUAAUUGAGUAACAGAAGGCUAAUCUCACCCCUAUACAGUGGCCACAACCCUUGAUUUCUCCUGAAAAUAAUGCGGCAUUCUUUUAGAGCUAACAAAUUAGGGAAACAUAAAAGUGAGACAUAAGGUCGACUUUACAUGCUCACCUCAUCUCUUGCUGAUAGCGUCUAAAAACAGAAUCACUGAGCACAUGGAUGACCAUUUUGUAAUACAAGCUGUCAUUCGAUAGAGAGUCAAUUUUGUGGUAGUUCCAAUAACAUUUAAAAGCUGCAGGGAAAUUCCUCUGCUUCAUCACACGAAUCAUCUCCUGUAACAAUACGUUGGGACUAAAUUAUCCUCUGACAAAAGCAGAUACAGAAGUAUUACAGCAUAAAAAAAAAUCUAUUGCUGACCAAGAACCAAUCAAAGAUGCCAACCUGCAGUUUCUUAGUUGUGUAGUCUGUAGGAUGUGCUUGCAAAAACUUAGUGACGACCGAUCUGUUAGCACUUGGAGACUGAUGAUCAUCAAGGCCACUACAUCCAAACCAAUCAGAAUGGUCUGGACACAUUGAAGGUCCAACAUUUUCAAGAAGUGCUUUAAUUUGCUGGCCAUGUCAAAGUAGUUAGAUGUUUAAAUAAACAGGAUGAGAACAAUGCAAAGUCAAGGAAAAUAAAAAACGAUCAAAAAAUAAAACUUAACAACAUUGAAUUAUACCUGCUUUUCAUCUGAUCUAUUAGCAGCACAUAUUUCUCGCAGACUUGGUCCUAAAUCAGAGCCAACUGCAUAGGAAAAAAGAACUUCUGAAUAAAUGAUAAAAGAUGCAGUAUUUACCACUUCACAACUCAAACAUAUCCAAAAAGAAAACCUAGGACAUACUUCCUCCAGCCCUAAAUACAUUCCUAGCAUGCAAAGCACAUAAUAGUAGGGAUUGAAUGUAAAAUGUUGCUUAUACCCCUUAUUAAAUGAGUGCCAGUUGGGAGUGAAAAAGUAGUUAAGGGUAAAAUGGGAAGAAAUUUGAAAGGAAUGUGGUUGGAGGGAAAGGUAGCAGGCUAGAAAUGCACUCUUUGUGGGACAAAAGUAGUAAGUAGGCUAGAAGUGUGCCUAUUAUGGAACAGAGGUAGUACUUAAAUGCACCCAAAAGAAUUUGAAUAAAAGCAAAUUAUACCAACAUCAUGGUUCACAGAUCUAUACACAAUUGCAAAAGUGAAUGUUCUCCUUUUUAUGUAAUCCAUGUGGUUGGGCACGAUUCAAGAAAAAAUGCUUUACUUGUGGGUUUAUAUGACAUUCUAAAUGAGAAAAAGUCCCAAACGCGUCCAAAGUUAUCAUAACCAAAGAAUAUAAUUGCAGUAUUUUUCAAUUCCGCCUUCUGUCAUUUUUCUAAUACAAGUGCAUAAAAAUAAUUUUCUUAUGAUUCUCUUACAAUGAUAUGGUUCGAUCAUUCACUUACCGAGAGGUUAGCAACAGAAUAACACGAGUAGUAUUUCCAUAGUUUCUUGUCCAAAAAAAAAAGUAUUUCCAUAGUAGAAGUAUGAAAAUAAUUGGUCCAUUUGUUCUAAUGAGAAUAUCUUAGUAUGCAUAUUCGAAAAAAAAAAAGAAGAAAAGAAUACUUAUUAGUAUUAGGGAUGGGUCUGGGUCUGGAUCAAACAAUACUCUAGUGGGUAACCCACCGUAGUUCAACUAAAUCAACUUUGCAGCUUUUCUAGUUCAUGCUGGGUAAGUAGUUCAUUUCGUUGAAUUUAAAUGGGCCUAUGGGUACCGGUAGAUUGGCACAUAGCACCACAGCUCACUCCCAUCCCCACUUAGUAUUGAUAUGUAUACUGAUCAUUAAAGUAAACUGAAACAACUCAUUUAUUUUAGCAACUUACCUCCAUCUAAUGGAGGCAGGGGAUAGUUCCUCAAGACUUCUUCUAUUUGCACUGAACUUUCACGGCUAACAAUACGGGCAACCAGGCCUUCAAGUAUCUCACCCUGCACCUUUACAUGAUCCUUUGACCCUAGAAAUUACAUAAUAGUAAGUACUAUGAGGAAACGAGAUGAAAGGAUACCAGUUCAGUCUACAAAGCAGUAAGACAAUGAUUCAAGAUAAGUAUACCUGGUACAGCUACAUCAGCUAUCUCAUCUAGGGCUUUGCAAACAGAUGUUGCUGUCCCCUCUUCACAUAGAGCGUCAUAUGCAGCAAAAAAUGACGAGGCAGAUUUCCUAGUAAAAGAUACAUCAAACAUAGUAAUGUUACGAUCAUCAGACCCAAUCACGGAUAUAUAUGCAUGCUCUGAGGUUGAGUGAAAAAUAAUAUAUACAAGUCUGAUGGAUAGGAGUUGAACAGAAAAUGAACACAGAGUAGCUUCAAAGCUACGAUUAUCUACACCAUAGGGAUGCAAAUCAAUGAAUAUAAGACGUUCUUAGAAUGGAGACAUCAAUUUCUGUACAAGCAUACAUUGGCAUAAGCCUAGUGAUCAAAUCAACUCAGUGAUCAGUUGAUAUCAGAAAUAAAAAAUAAAUAACACAAAAAAUGGAUAUAUUUCUGACGAGGGAAAUAGUUUCAAUAAAAUAGAAGUCAUGGUUGGUAAUUUUACCAUCAGGAGUUUAGGAAUUUUAGUCCUAUGUAAAGCUCUACAGAUCUAUUAUAUUAAACUGAUGGCACCAAAACCUUUCACAUUUAAUAUGAAUGUAGAACACACAAGUAUGAUGGAAUGCAAGGCUUCCAAAUAUCAUCAGAUGAGCACCUUGUCGAAAAUAGCCAGACAUGGUUUGUAGGUAGACGCCAUUUCCGACAAAACUCAAUUACCUCUGGAGUAGAAUAAAAUUUUGGCUUGCCAUGACCCAACUCAGUCACAGCAGUAAUCACAGCUGCACAAAUGCCAAAUAAGAUGAUAAAUAAUGCAUUUCAUAUAUACAAUAAAUAAUGCUGAAAGUGAAAAUUGGAGUGAACACAGCUAGUGAACUCAAAGUACAGUGGCAAAAGUAGUUUCCUCCAAAUUAUACCAUCCAAGUAUCAGCACUACCAUGGCAAGUAGAGUAACAAAAAAAAGGGCAUAUCAAAGCAGGCUGGUUCACAUUUAAUAAUUAGAAUUUCCCAAACAUAUCAUGGAU